rnacentral:lncRNA from 1 species
CUGAAGGCUCACAGAGGGUAACAGACUUUCCCCAGGACAUGCAGCUGGUAGGUGGUGGACCCCAGGCUCCCGAUUUCAGAGCUUUGGCAGCUGCUUGAACAACCAAAUCCUAAUUAUGACAUGGUAACUCAUCUAAAUCUGAAGAUAAUCAGAGGAGCCAUAGAUGUAACAAGUGACUGGGGCAGGUACACCAAGCCCAGUUUGCUGUCACUUCUGAUGAGGUGAAUGAAGAGAUGGCAAAAGGCCACUCAGAGAAACCAAAGUGAAGGGAUUGGCCAUGUUGAACGCUAGAGGUAUCACACCAACUCAUCUCGUCCCCAAGAGAAUCACCAAGAGAAAAUCAGAUCAGCAAAGAAGGAUGCCACUCCUUGGCAUUUACACAAAGGAGUUGAAAACUUAUGUCCACACAAAAACCUACACAUGGAUGCUUAUAGCAGAUUCAUUCAUAAUUGAGAAAACAUGGAAGCAACCAAGAUGCCCUGCAGCAGAGAACACUUCUCUCCAGCAGACCUUGCAGAGGGCCAUCCAAACACCAGACAUCCUGCUAGCAGCACUCAUUAGCUAAAGAGACCUCAAAAAGGUACCACCUGUGGAGUUGUCAGAGCUUUCAUCCCAAGCCCUAAGUGCUGGGCUUGUUGAACAUCAGUGUGUUCAGCAUAAUUUCAUGAUUGGCAGCCUUCUCCAACAUAAUACACUACAUCUUCC